GAUGAACGCUGGCGGCGUGCCUAAUACAUGCAAGUCGAACGAAGAACCUUGAUUCGUUUUUUUGGAUGAUUAUCUUGGUGCCUGAGUGGCGGACGGGUGAGUCACGCGUGGGUAACUUGCCUCAUACAGGGGGAUCACAGCUAGAACUGACUGCUAAUACCGCAUAAGUGCAUAGCACGGCAUGGUGCAGGUGUCAAACCCCUGGUGGUAGUAGAUGGCCCCGUGUCGGAUUAGGUAGUUAGUGGGGUUACGGCCUACAAAGCUGACGAUCGGUAGCCGAGCAGAGAAGGUGACCGGCCACAUUGGAACGGAGACACGGCCCAGAAUCCUACGGGAGGGAGCAGUGGGGAAUAUGGCACAAGGGGGGAAACCCUGAAGCAUCGACGCCGCGUAAGCGAUGAAGUAUUGCGAUAAGUAAAGCUCUAUCAACAGGGAAGAAAAUGACGGGACCUGACUAAGAAGCACCGGCUAAAUACGUG
rnacentral:rRNA from 1 species